rnacentral:sRNA from 12 species
ACUGUGGAGCGUACAAGAACUUGUGAGUAGUGUGUCACUUGCGACCACAAAAGCAUACACGAUGAAGCAGUAA